UUCGCGGACAGAAGGUGGGGCGGGGAAUGCGGGCUGAGACCUGCGUGCAGGCAUCUGGCUGGUCGACUGUCCUCCCUUCAGGCUGUGCGCCUUCUUUCGACCCUCCCUCGGUCCCUUCAGCAACCUCGCUGCUGGGUAGUUCCCUCUCCACCUGGCCAGAGGAGAUUUGGACAAACACUUUGAGAAUCCAGAUAUGAAUGGCUACCAACAUUAGAGACCCAACAUCAUCACCAUCACCACCUCAGCUACACUAGAUUCACUGCUACACUAGCAGACUCAGCUGGAUACUUCAAACAGAGAAGAGCCUGCUGCCCAGGCUUAUAAGAGUGCUUGAAGAAAAGUAUGAGGAUUGGAGCAGCUAGUGGCCACACUUCAGCUCACAACACAGGAUGAAGAUUUAAAAGAUGAAAUAAUGGAAAUGCUACAACAGAUGUUAACAGAGGAAACGACCCUACAUAAGGAAGAGAAUCAAAACAAUAAGCAAGCCCAGUGGACAAGUGUGAUAACCAGAAACAGUAGAUGAAGAAGGUAUUCUGCACUGCUAGAAUUUAGAAACAAUUCUGCUGCUGCCAAAAAGACAAGCUGUAAGGUUUCAAAGGCAGAGAAAGUGAGAUUGCUGAACAGAAAAUAGAAGAGUGGGUUCCUGGAGGGUAGAGGAGAUGCAACUGAGUCCUGCAAGAAGAUAAAGAUCAGUUAUAGUUGAUAACUCAUCCCCAGAGGAGUCCCCUGGAAGAAUGGGGAGGAGGGAAGUGACAAAGCAUAUACUGUGACAUUGUGACCCAAAUUCUGCCCUUGGUGAAAAAUGAUUCAGAAACUGAACAAGUUAAAGAUAGUAUGAUUAAAUGGAUGCAGAAUUUAACAUGUGACAAUGAGAUUAUCAGUGGAAGAAAAAUAUUAAAUUUACUGUGAAUAUGACCCUUCAAAAACGAAUACAAGAAGUUUUACCAAUGGUAUACUAGUGUGAUUGCUAAAUCAGCUCAUUCUCUAAAAAUUAUUGGAAAUGCAAUAAUCAGAUCAGAUCAUUAUUUCGUAUUUGGUAGCAAUGUUAUAAAGGUCAACAGUUCUGGAAGAUGAUCUGUUAUAGAAUGAAACGCAUUCUCCUUCCAACCAUCCAUUUUCUGUUAAACAUGACCAAACUUUAUAUUUGCACAAAGUAUAUCAAGUUGGCUUUAUGGUAACAGCUGUCAGAACACUUUAGCUUUUCAUUAGAAAUUGCAUAUAAUUCAGUCUAUAGAAGAAUGGCAAAUUAAUCUGUGGGAGCACACAUAAAAAAAAAAACACCUUUAUAUUUGAAAAGCAAAUCUGAUAUAGAAUUCAGUUCAAUUUGGAAACCAUUCCUGGAUUGCAAUUCAACACAUGGAUUUAUACUGCAUCUGAAGUUUGGGUUUCUUUUAAAAUAAGGCUUUAAUAUCUAAGCUCUUAUUUGAUUUGCUAAACAAAGGAUAGACUUUUAGAUUAGUCAUUUUUAUCAUUUUUAAAUUUUGAUUUAUAAUUCAUAUUAUACUGGCUAUUGUUGCCAAUCUUUGCGUAUCAACUUGAUUUUAAUAAUGUUCUGAACUUCUAAAUUGAUACAAGAUAUUUUAAUAUGCAGCACUAAUCUAAUGUUACUUUGAC